UGACAUCUACCAGUCACCUUAAAAUCCUUCUCCUCAGUAGCUUUACUUCCACUUUUUUGUGCUUUCUCAAAUAGCCUCUGUAUAUACUAUUUGUACUUCUCAGCUAGAUCUUUUAAUUUUGUUUUCUGCUACUGUUUACCACUUAUUCCCAUUUCAGAAAUAACUGUUAUGAAAGAGACAAUCAAAUAACUAUUUCCCAGGAACAGCACUUUUUUCCUCUCAUCCUGUAUGUGUAAAACAAGAUCCCUACCUGCUCUAGAAGACCAAAGAAAGAAAACAUUAUACAUUUGCAGUUUUGCCUUAUGUCUGUAAGGGAAUUGUUAGGUCAUGGCCUCAGCUGAUGAUUGAGCACCUGGAGAAGGAGUGUGACUGGUCCAGGAAGCACAGGUGCAAACAAUUUAAAUGUACUUCCCACAUGACUGGUAGGGGGUGGACCCAGGGUCCACUCCCCCCUUCCCCCAUGGUUCAUUUAAGGGCUAGCCUCGGAAGAGAGAACGUCUCCUGGAUGAAGGCUAUUUCCUUGGAAAGAAUAUUCUGUAGCUAGAGAACCUUAUCACUAGUUGGAAGAGAAACUUUAUCUACAUUCUGUCUGAGCAAGCUGGACCAGGGAAGUGGUCAGAAACCGGAGACCUGACACCUGACCUCCACACGCUGUACUUGAUCACAAUAUACCUCCUAUCGUCCACCAAAUGAGAAUGGAAAAGGCUAAGUGCUGGUCUUUUACAUUGAAGGCAUCCAACAAGACAAGAUCUAUGCCCAAGAAUCACUGAAGACUAGGAAAAGCCCCUUCCCAAGAUGCAGCCCACGCUGAGACAGAGAUAUCUAGGCAAGGUACACCACAUUUUCUUCCUUUGAAAUACCAUGGCCAGCUUUUUAAGCCCAUGCAGCACCAAAGUAUUCACCAGAACAUCCUGAGAAUUCUUCCUUCUCCCUGUGACCUUCAGCUUAAGAUACAGUUUUAACAACUUCUGGUGUUCUGGUAAGUGUAUUUUUAUAGAUCUGCCCAUUCUUUGAGCUCCUGUGAGUGCCAACACUUGUUGAUUCUCCUGCUGAGAUAAACAAUGUAGUGCUUCCUCACCACUGACAGGUUUCAUGCUUUAAAAUUUAGCUGCUGCUGGAGCCUUCCAAAUCUUUAAUUGAUUUUGAAAACUUCGCUUUCUUCAAAAUCAGUAUCUCUUUAUAUGCCAGUCUUUUUUAUCUUUACUUCAUCCUAUCACAGUGGACUAUAAGAGUUCCAUUCUAAAAGUGAAUGGAUUUCUGCCAGCUUAACUCAAAUACGUUAAAUGAAGUACUUAACAAGAGGACUGAAUCAGUGAAGAAACCAGUUCCAAGUACCAUUAAUUUGCCCGAGUUUGGAACCAGGAAGGCAGAAGAUGGGUAAUGAUCUGGGCACUUCACAAAGCUUGUGCAAGAGAGUUACUCAUGCUCUGUUGAAUAGA